GUGCUCGCUUCGGCAGCACAUAUGCUAAAAUUGGAAGGAUACAAAGAAGAUUAGCAUGGCCCCUGCGCAAGGAUAAACUUAGUAGUCUUUCUAUUCCAUAUUUAA